rnacentral:rRNA from 1 species
UAGGGAAUCUUCGGUAAUGGACGAAAGUCUGACCGAGCAACGCCGCGUGAGUGAAGAAGGUUUUCGGAUCGUAAAACUCUGUUGUUAGAGAAGAACAAGGACGUUAGUAACUGAACGUCCCCUGACGGUAUCUAACCAGAAAGCCACGGCUAACUACGUGCCAGCAGCCGCGGUAAUACGUAGGUGGCAAGCGUUGUCCGGAUUUAUUGGGCGUAAAGCGAGCGCAGGCGGUUUCUUAAGUCUGAUGUGAAAGCCCCCGGCUCAACCGGGGAGGGUCAUUGGAAACUGGGAGACUUGAGUGCAGAAGAGGACAGUGGAAUUCCAUGUGUAGCGGUGAAAUGCGUAGAUAUAUGGAGGAACACCAGUGGCGAAGGCGGCUCUCUGGUCUGUAACUGACGCUGAGGCUCGAAAGCGUGGGGAGCAAACAGG